rnacentral:misc_RNA from 1 species
AACGCACAUUGCGCCCUUUGGUAUUCCGAAGGGCAUGCCUGUUCGAGCGUCAUUAUAACCACUCAAGCCUUCGCUUGGUAUUGGGGUUCGCGGUUUCGCGGCCCCUAAAAUCAGUGGCGGUGCCUGUCGGCUCUACGCGUAGUAAUACUCCUCGCGUUUGGGUUCCGGUAGGUUGCUUGCCAGCAACCCCUAAAUUUUUUACAGGUUGACCUCGGAUCAGGUAGGGAUACCCGCUGAACUUAA